rnacentral:misc_RNA from 1 species
AGAGAGAGAGAGAGAGAGAUGGAGGAGGAAGGGGGAGUUGUUGAGAAGAAGAUAACUAUUGGAGUCUGCGUGAUGGAAAAGAAGGUGAAAUGCGGAUUGGAGGUGUUAUCGGCUCCAAUGGGACGAAUUCUAGAGAGAUUACAGGCAUUUGGUGAAUUUGAGAUUAUACAUUUUGGGGACAAAGUCAUUCUCGAAGAUCCAAUUGAGAGCUGGCCAAUAUGUGAUUGCUUGAUUGCCUUCUAUUCCAAUGGCUAUCCUCUUGAAAAGGCUGAGGCAUAUGCUGCUUUAAGGAAGCCUUAUCUGGUGAAUGAAUUAGAGCCACAACACCUUCUUCAUGACCGAAGGAAGGUAUACCAGCAAUAAAAAGAGAAUAAGAAAUAACAAUUCCAGGAGACAAGCUCGUCGCCCAGCAGAAAUGCCGAAUACAGAGAAUCACUCUUCAAAAUUGCGUCUGCUUUAUUUUCUCUUUGUAUAAGGUUGCUAUUCACAUGGUCCUUCCCAUGCCCGGCAGUCUACCAGCUGUCCUUCCAUGAUUUCCUCUAACUGAUUCUCCUCUCUAGAAGCUUUUGCCAACUCAUCUAUGCACCAGCUCCCUUGAACUCUCAUCUAGAAUAAACAUUACUAGGCCUUCAAUUCUUCCAGCCCAAGCUUUUCACCUGAUCCAUAUCAUUAAUGCACUCCUGUAAUAUAUUUCGUAAAGGUCUUUAAGUCCUCAUGGAUACAAUUAAGCUGUAUCAUUUUAAUUAUUAUUUCCCAUUAUAGUGUUUGAAUGAGAUAUUAAUAAAAUAUUUAUUUAUUUUUUUGGGGAUACAAGCAUCUUGAAGUUUACGGAAUCCCUGUUCCAAGAUAUGCCCUUGUUAAUAGAGAAUUUCCAUAUCAAGAACUGGAUUAUUUUAUUGAGGAAGAAGAUUUUGUUGAGGUUCAUGGCAAUCGUUUUUGGAAGCCAUUUGUGGAGAAGCCUAUUGAUGGGGAUGAUCAUAGUAUCAUGAUAUAUUAUCCCAGCUCAGCAGGUGGGGGCAUGAAGGCACUAUUUCGGAAGGUUGGAAACCGGUCAAGUGAGUUCCACCCAGAGGUUAGAAGAGUAAGGCGUGAAGGCUCUUAUAUAUAUGAAGAAUUUAUGCCAACAGGAGGAACAGAUGUCAAGGUAUAUACUGUUGGCCCUGAAUACGCACAUGCUGAGGCAAGGAAGUCUCCUGUUGUUGAUGGUGUUGUUAUGAGAAACCCUGAUGGCAAGGAAGUGAGGUAUCCUGUCUUACUGACACCUAACGAGAAGCAAAUGGCAAGAGAGGUUUGCAUUGCAUUUAGGCAAGCGGUUUGUGGGUUUGACCUCUUGCGCUGUGAAGGAAGAUCGUAUGUUUGCGAUGUGAAUGGAUGGAGUUUUGUGAAAAAUUCCUACAAAUAUUAUGAUGAUGCUGCAUGUGUAUUGAGGAAAAUGUUCUUAGAUGCCAAAGCUCCACACCUUUCAUCAGUGAUUCCUCCCACUUUACCCUGGAAAGUCAAUGAACCAGUCCAGCCUUCUGAAGGACUAACUCGUCAGGGAAGUGGGAUUAUUGGAACGUUUGGGCAAUCUGAGGAGCUACGUUGUGUAAUUACGGUUAUUCGUCAUGGUGAUAGAACUCCCAAACAGAAGGUGAAGCUGAAGGUUACUGAGGAAAAGCUGUUAAAUUUGAUGUUAAAGUACAAUGGAGGACGACCUAGAUCUGAGACAAAACUCAAAAGUGCUAUUCAGUUGCAAGAUUUGUUAGAUGCAACACGAAUGCUUGUACCUCGUACAAGACCUGGUCGAGAAAGUGAUAGCGAGGCAGAAGACAUUGAACAUGCUGAAAAGCUUCGUCAAGUUAAAGCGGUGCUUGAGGAGGGUGGGCAUUUCUCUGGCAUAUAUAGGAAAGUCCAACUAAAGCCACUAAAGUGGGUUAAAGUUCCAAAAAGUAAUGGUGAAGGUGAGGAAGAACGUCCUGUUGAAGCUCUGAUGGUUCUUAAAUAUGGGGGUGUUCUCACUCAUGCUGGCAGGAAGCAGGCAGAAGAAUUGGGUAGAUAUUUUCGGAAUAAUAUGUAUCCAGGAGAAGGUACAGGCUUGCUACGCCUUCAUAGUACAUAUCGACAUGAUCUUAAAAUUUACAGCUCUGAUGAGGGCCGUGUGCAGAUGUCAGCAGCUGCAUUUGCUAAAGGCCUCCUUGAUUUGGAAGGACAACUAACGCCAAUCCUGGUCUCCCUCGUUAGCAAGGAUUCCUCGAUGUUGGAUGGACUUGACAAUGCCAGCAUUGAAAUGGAAGAAGCCAAGGCUAGGUUGAAUGAGAUCAUAACUUCUGGUUCAAAGGCUGCUAAUAGCAAUGGAUCCUCUGAAUUUCCAUGGAUGACUGAUGGAGCUGGACUACCUCCAAAUGCAUCUGACCUUCUUCCCAAACUGGUAAAAUUGACUAAGAAGGUCACAGAACAAGUGAGACUGCUUGCAAAAGAUGAAGAUGAAGAACUUACAGAAACAAGCUCAUAUAAUGUAAUUCCGCCGUAUGACCAAGCAAAGGCCCUUGGUAAAACAAAUAUUGAUGUUGAUCGAAUUGCUGCUGGACUACCCUGUGGCAGUGAGGGGUUCCUUUUGAUGUAUGCACGCUGGAGAAAACUGGAAAGAGACUUGUACAAUGAACGCAAAGAGCGAUUUGAUAUAACACAAAUUCCUGAUGUUUAUGACUCAUGCAAAUAUGACUUGUUGCACAAUGCUCAUCUUAAUCUAGAAGGUCUUGAUGAACUAUUCAAAGUUGCUCAGCUACUUGCAGAUGGUGUCAUACCAAAUGAGUAUGGGAUUAAUCCAAAGCAGAAAUUGAAAAUUGGCUCCAAGAUUGCUCGCCGUUUGUUGGGUAAAAUCUUGAUUGAUCUGAGGAACACUCGGGAGGAAGCCAUUAGUGUUGCAGAGUUAAAGAGCAAUCAGGACCAACAUUCAACAUCAGCAAAGAGUGAGGAGGAUGCAGAUUAUCAAUCAAAGUUUUUCAUUAAGAAUGAAGACACGAGAAGAACUAGCACAAGUGAAAUAUCAAUAGAUCAGGAUGAUGACGAUGAUAAAGAGACAAAAUACCGUUUGGAUCCAAAGUAUGCAAAUGUCAAAACACCUGAACGCCACGUCCGGACGCGUCUUUAUUUUACUUCAGAAUCUCAUAUCCAUUCCCUUGUCAAUGUUCUCCGUUACUGUAACUUGGAUGAGUCUCUGCAAGGAGAGGAUAGUCUUGUUUGCCAUAGUGCCUUGGAGCGCCUGCACAAUACCAAGGAGCUUGACUACAUGAGUUACAUUGUGCUGAGGAUGUUCGAGAACACUGAGGUUGCUUUGGAAGACCCGAAAAGGUUCCGCAUAGAGAUGACAUACAGCCGUGGUGCUGACUUAUCCCCCUUGGAGAAAAAUGAUAGUGAGGCUACCACUUUGCAUCAGGAGCAUACACUGCCUAUAAUGGGUCCAGAAAGGCUGCAAGAAGUGGGAUCGUAUCUCACAUUAGAGAAAAUGGAGAAGAUGAUUCGCCCAUUUGCCAUGCCGGCAGAAGACUUUCCUCCACCUGCAACUCCCGCAGGAUUCUCCGGCUACUUCUCAAAAAGUGCUGCAGUACUAGAGCGCUUGGUGAAUCUUUGGCGUUUCCAUAAACAUGAUAAGCAUUCUAGUGCUAAUGGAAAGUAAUUCUUACCAAAUAUUUUUUUCUUUUUUUUUUUUUAACUAAUUACCAUUGUUUUUGACGUUCUAUGUUAUUUCAUAUGAUGUAUAAGCUUUACUGGGUACUGUUUGGUCUUACAGACAAGCUGAGCUUUGAGCUUUUCUGGGAGAAAAUUUUUGGGGCAAACUAACAACUUUAGCAGCAAAAGAAAGUAAUCUUAGCUAUAACCAACUAUGCUCAGAUUCUUUUUUUAUUAUUUUUUUCCCUUUCGAUUAAUGGGUAUAGCAUUACUAAGAAACAAAUAAUAGUAUCUUUGCUUUUGCUAUUGGCUACAUUUCUAACAUGGCCUUCUUCAAUAUGCU